AUUGAACGCUGGCGGCAGGCCUAACACAUGCAAGUCGAACGAGUGGCGGACGGGUGAGUAAUGUCUGGGAAACUGCCUGAUGGAGGGGGAUAACUACUGGACACGGUAGCUAAUACCGCAUACCAUCAGAUGUGCCCAGAUGGGUUUAGCUUGUUGGUGGGGGAACGGCUCACCAAGGCGACGAUCCCUAGCUGGUCUGAGAGGAUGACCAGCAACACGGGAACUGGUACACGGUCCAGACGCCAACGGGAGGAAGCAGUGGGUAAUAUUGCACAAGGGGCGCAAGCCUGAUGCAGCCAUGCCGCGUGUAUGAAGAAGGCCUUCGGGUUGUAAAGUACUUUCAGCGGGGAGGCGUUACCCGCAGAAGAAGCACCGGCUAACUCCGUGCCAGCAGCCGCGGUAAUUC
rnacentral:rRNA from 1 species